CAUAAGAAUGCACUAAGAUUUCCUUAGAGAACUAAUUGUGCUAUGGUUUCUUAAUCAUUAAGAUGAUCACAAAAACUGAUACUAAAGUACUCUCCCAUCUUUUCAGAUUUGAGAAACUUUUAUCCUUCUGCCUAAGUUGAUUCUUCUUAUUCGCUCUGUCAUACAUUGGAACCUUUUUCCAAUGUCUCAGAAUUACACUUCAGCUUGUAAGUAUAACCAUAUUUACUGAGCUUUUGUAAAUUAUGACGAAUAAUCUUAUCGAUCUUUUGUGGUGGACUUGACCAGUGGACAAGAAUGUGUACUCAAUCCCUUUGUCCUUUUACUUGACUCACACAUCCAUGUGAACAAGUAGUUAGUCUUAAUUUUGCAAAUGCUUGAAAGCUCUCAUCCAUCAUGCUAUACAACUUGCAUGAUUCCAAGUUUCUAUCCAACUGAAACUUGGGUGAUGAGUAUCUUUCCUUAUUUGGUAAAUUUAGACUCUACCACAAAUGAAAGAAUCAAAUUCAUAUUUCUACUCUUGCUCUUAAUGGAAUCUUUACAAGCAACAAAAAUUUUCACAAAUACCAUUGUAAGGAUAUUUUAAAAUAAUUAAAAUCAAUUUUUUUUCCUUUUAUUUCAAAAACUUUGUAGAAAAACUAUCCUUACAGUGUAAAAGCACAUGAAAACUUUGUUGUUAUCUAUUCCUAAGCAAUAUAUCAUAACUCCUUUGAAGUGGCUCAAUAAUCCGAUCUUCAAACUAUGUGAUAGAAAUCCAUCUAAGCGAUCANNNNNNNNNNNNNNNNNNNNNNNNNNNNNNNNNNNNNNNNNNNNNNNNNNNNNNNNNNNNNNNNNNNNNNNNNNNNNNNNNNNNNNNNNNNNNNNNNNNNGGUUCUAGAAUUUAAUCCAAGAUUAUUGGUGUGUUUAAGUGGCAUGUAAACACUCAAAUUUGAGUUUACUCCCCAUGAAGAUAAGUUUAUGGCCCAAGCAUGUUCUUGGGCAGUAAACUCAUGUUUACUCCUCAAAAAUGAUGUUCAAGGUGUUCUAAGUCCGAUUUGAUAAGCCAUUAAGUCAUAUCUAAGCCCCAAAGGUGGAUUGGAAGGGUUUUAAGGCUCAAAAACCCUCUUUAUGUGUGUUUAUGGCCCAAGCAUGUUCCAGGGCUGCAAACUCAUGAAUAUGGUCCUAAAUCAUAGUUUGAACUUGGUUUUGGAAGCUGAAAAGGUUGAACAACAAGUUAGGGUGAUUACCUUGAUGUUUUGGAGCUUGAAAUUGGAUGAUUUUAGACCUUUAGUUGGAUUGAGGAGAGAGGUUAGAGAGAGUAGUGAGAGAGAGAAAAAGCUUCAAAUGAAAGCUUAAUUCACUUUAAAUAUGUUCCAAGUUCGGGACACGGUAGAAUUCUACCCGAUACCGACAUUAGACGUGGCUUUUGGUCGCACCCGACUUAGUUGUCGUAACCCGAUAUGGUAGAUUCUAAAAAUAUUUCGAUUACUAGAAUGGGGUGUUAAUAUGAGUUCUAAAUGCAUUUGGACACCCAUUAAGUCAUAAUAGCAAUCUCAAAUUAAUGACUUAAUUUAAUAGCGUAAACGGAAACGAAAUUGAAAACGACGAAUGGAUUAACGAAAAGGGGUUACAAAUGAUGGAAACGAACUUCGGGUUGUCACAUUAUCCCCCGUUAGAGGGAAUUUCGUCCCGAAAUUUAGAAUUUAGAUACAAAUCAUGGAUCUGGAAAGAGAUGUUGAUACUUUUGCUUCAUCGAGUCUUCACGCUCCCAAGUGAAUUCCGGUCCCCGCUUGGCAUUCCAGCGAACCUUCACUAUCGGAAUGCGACUUUGUUUCGUGCGUUUGAUCUCUUGAUCCAUGAUUUCGAUUGGUUCCUCCACGAAGUUCAAGUUUUCGUUGAUCUCAAUCUCGUCUAAGGGAAUCACUAGGGUUUCAUCGGAUAAGCACUUCUUGAGAUUUGAGACAUGGAAGACGGAAUGAAUGUUACUGAGCUCAUGGGGUAAUCGAUGUUUAUAGGUUACCGAACCGAUCCUGGCGAGGAUCUAGAAGGGUCUAAUGUACCUCGGAUUAAAUUUCCCACACUUUCCGAAGCGUAUCAUGCCUUUCCAGGGCGAGACCUUCAACAGGACAUGGUCUCCAACCUGGAACUCCAGAGGUUUCUGUCGAUUAUCAGCGUAACUCUUUUGGUGAUCUCGUGAAGCUUUCAAUCGUNNNNNNNNNNNNNNNNNNNNNNNNNNNNNNNNNNNNNNNNNNNNNNNNNNNNNNNNNNNNNNNNNNNNNNNNNNNNNNNNNNNNNNNNNNNNNNNNNNNNCUUAAGUUGGAUUGAGGAGAGAGGUUAGAGAGAGUAGUGAGAGAGAUAAAAAGCUUCAAAUGAAAGCUUAAUUCACUUUAAAUAUGUUCCAAGUUCGGGACACGGUGGAAUUCUACCCGAUACCGACGUUAGAUGUGGCUUUUGGUCGCACCCGACUUAGUUGUCGUAACCCGAUAUGGUAGAUUCUAAAAAUAUUUCGAUUACUAGAAUGGGGUGUUAAUAUGAGUUCUAAAUGCAUUUGGACACCCAUUAAGUCAUAAUAGCAAUCUCAAAUUAAUGACUUAAUUUAAUAGCGUAAACGGAAACGAAAUUGAAAACGAUGAAUGGAUUAACGAAAAGGGGUUACAAAUGAUGGAAACGAACUUCGGGUUGUCACAUUAUCCCCCGUUAGAGGGAAUUUCGUCCCGAAAUUUAGAAUUUAGAUACAAAUCAUGGAUCUGGAAAGAGAUGCGGAUACUUUUGCUUCAUCGAGUCUUCACGCUCCCAAGUGAAUUCCGGUCCCCGCUUGGCAUUCCAGCGAACCUUCACUAUCGGAAUGCGACUUUGUUUCGUGCGUUUGAUCUCUUGAUCCAUGAUUUCGAUUGGUUCCUCCACGAAGUUCAAGUUUUCGUUGAUCUCAAUCUCGUCUAAGGGAAUCACUAGGGUUUCAUCGGAUAAGCACUUCUUGAGAUUUGAGACAUGGAAGACAGAAUGAAUGUUACUGAGCUCAUGGGGUAAUCGAUGUUUAUAGGUUACCGAACCGAUCCUGGCGAGGAUCUAGAAGGGUCCAAUGUACCUCGGAUUAAGUUUCCCACGCUUUCCGAAGCGUAUCAUGCCUUUCUAGGGCGAGACCUUCAACAGGACAUGGUCUCCAACCUGGAACUCCAGAGGUUUCUGUCGAUUAUCAGCGUAACUCUUUUGGUGAUCUCGUGAAGCUUUCAAUCGUUCCCAGAUUUGGAUGAUCUUUUUGGUGGUUUCGCGGAUGAUUUCAGGACCAGUGAGAGCACUAUCGGGGACUUGACUCUUAGCUAGCUAUGUGUUCCUUACCUCGGCCCAGCACAGAGGGGAUCUACACUUGCGACCGUAGAGGGCUUCAAAUGGAGCAGCCUUGAUGCUGGUGUGGUAACUAUUGUUGUACGAGAACUCGAUCAAAGGCAAAUGUGUGUCCCACAAACUUCCAAAAUCGAUGACACAUGCUCUAAGCAUGUCUUCUAGGGUUUGGAUAGUUCUCUCACUCUGUCCAUCGGUCUGGGGAUGAUAAGCCGUACUCAUGUCUAGUUUGGUUCCAAGAGCCUUCUAGAGAGACUGCCAAAAUCUGGAGGUACACCUGCUAUCUCGAUCAGAGAUAAUGGAUGCAGGUACACCGUGCAAUCGGAUUACCUCUUGGAUGUAGAUUCGCGUGAGUCUUUCCAUCUUGAAUGACUAUUUGAUCGGAAUGAAGUGAGCUGAUUUUGUCAAACGAUCGACAAUUACCCAAAUGGUGUCGUACCCACUCGGACAUUUGGGUAACUUGGUGAUGAGAUUCAUGGUAAUCAUCUCCCAUUUCCACUCGGGUAUUUCGGGUUGCUGGAGCAGACCCGAGGGUUUCUGGUACUCGACUUUCACUUUGGCGCAAGUCAUACACUUGCCCACGAAUGUAGCGAUCUCGGCUUUCAUGUUUGGCCACCAGUAUUGUUUCUUGAGAUCCAAGUACAUCUUGUCCGAACUUGGGUGAACAGAGUAUCUAGUCUUGUGCGCUUCCUCCAUGACAAUCUCCCUGAAUCCUCCGAACUUUGGGAUCCAGAUUCGGUCCAUGAAACAGUAGACUCCAUCACCUCUGAUCUCAAGUUUCUUAUCCAUUCCUCUCAAGGCUUCGCUUAACACGUUCUCAGGUUUAAGAGCUUCUAAUUGGGCUUCUCGGAUUUGCAUGGUUAGAUGGGAAUGGAUAGUCAUUGUCAGGGUCUUCACUUUUCGGCUUGAACUAUCCUUUCGGCUAAUGGCAUCUGCUACCACAUUGGCCUUGAUGGGAUGGUAACGGAUUUCACACUCAUAGUAACUGAGUAGUUCUACCCAUCGCCGUUGCCUCAUGUUUAAGUCUUUCUGAUCAAAGAUGUGUUGCAGGCUCUUAUGGUCAGUGAAGAUCGUACACUUGGUUACGUAGAGAUAAUCUCUCUAAAUCUUCAGUGCAAAGACUACGGCACCUAACUCCAAGUCAUGCGUGGUAUAGUUGAUCUCAUGUGCCUUCAGCUGUCUCGAGGCAUAUGCAAUCACUUUUCCCCUUUGCUUACACAGCCUAAGCCCUGGUUAGACGCAUCACAAUAAACAACGAAGUCCUCUGUUCUUUCGGGUAGGGACAGGACCGGUGUGCUACACAAGGCUCGCUUUAAUGUUUGGAAUGCGUUUUCUUGUUUUUCACUCCAACAAAAGGGUACACCUUUCUGUUUCAGAGUGGUUAGGGGUUUGACGAUUCUGGAAAAAUUCUGAAUAAAUCUCCGAUAAUAUUUGGCGAGACCCAAGAAUUGACGAAUUUCUGUGGGUGUCUUCGGUGCCGACCAAUUCUCUAUCACCUUGAUCUUGGAUGGAUCCACGUGAAUACCCUCUUCGCUUACCACAUGGCCGAGGAAAGUUACCUUCCGAAUCCAGAAUUCACACUUGGAAAAUUUUACGUACAGCUUUUCGGAUCUAAGGGUUUCCAACACUGACCUCAAGUGUUUCUUCUGAUCUUCUUCACUUCUGGAGUAGACAAGUAUGUCAUCAAUGAGCACGAUGACGAACUUGUCCAGAAAAGGGAGACACACCCGGUUCAUCAGGUCCAUGAACACUGCCGAUGCGUUGGUUAGACCGAAGGGCAUCACUACAAACUCGUAGUAUCCAUACCGAGUCCUGAAAGCUAUUUUGGAAACAUCACUCUCAUGAACUCGUAGUUGAUGGUACCCUGACCGAAGGUCUAUCUGUGAGAAGUAGCUGACUCCCUGGAGUUGAUCGAAGAGGUCAUCUAUUCGCGGAAGGGGAUAUCAGUUUUUGACGGUCAACUUAUUCAACUCACGGUAGUCGAUACACAUUUGGAAGGAUCCAUCUUUGUUCUUUACAAAUAGAACCGGGGCUCCCCAGGGUGAGGAACUCGGUCUGAUGAACCCUUUGCUGAGUAACUUGUUGAGUUGGCUGGAUAACUCCUGCAUUUCUGCUAGAGCUAAGCGAUACGGAGAUUUAGCUACGGGGGUAGCUCCAGGAAUUAGGUCAAUGUGAAAUUCGACCUGACGUUCGGGACGAAUUCCUGGAAGCUCUUCGAGAAAGACAUCAGGAAAGUUACAUACUUCGGGGAUGCUCGCGAGGUUUUUAAUUUCCUGUUUUUCAUUGAUUACAUGAGCUAGGAAUGCUUGGCACUCCUUCCGUAGAAGCUUUUGAGCUUUGAUGCAGGAAAUGAUACGAAAAUUGGAGCUAAGCUUAUCGCCGUAGAUCAUGAGAAUCUGACCAGAGGGGAGGUUGAGACGAAUAGCUUUUUCAAAAUAGAGGAUAUCAGCAUGAUUGGGACUCAACCAAUCCAUGCCAAUGAUGACAUCAAAGCUCUUUAUGGAAACUGGCAUAAGAUCGAUGGGAAAUGAAUGAUCGUUCAAGGUAAGAGUACAACCUAUGAACACAUCGCUAGCGCUUUCUUUCUCACCGUUAGCCAUCUCGAUGGUAAACGUUUCGGUUAAUGGUUGGGGAUUAGGUUCAUGAUUAUGUUUGAACGAAUGACUAACAAAGCUUCUUUCAGCACCCGAAUCGAAAAGAAUACUAGCAUAAGAGUUGUCGAGAAGGAACGUACCCGAAACAACGGUGGGAUCGGCAACUGCCGCCUCUCGUCCCAUGGCUAGGACUCUCCCAGUGUUAUCAGCUAUCGUCUUCUUGGGGCAGUUCCUCUUGAAAUGCCCAACUUCUCCACAAUUGUAGCAUGCUUGACCAACACCUGCUCUAGAAGAUUGAUUCGCGGAUUGGGCUGGUGCUUUGCAGAAUCGGACCGUGUGCCCCUUUUUACCACAGUUUGUACAUGUCAGCUCACGGCAGGGGCCAGGGUUAUGGUGGUAUUUGCACUUGUCACACUGGAGAAGGUUACCAGCAUACCUACUAGUAGGUGUUUGAGCUGUAGAUCCCACAACAGAAGUAGCAGCAACGGGGGUAGUAGCAGCAUGGACUGCUACAGUCUCUUGUUUCUUUGAGUAUCCUUGAGAAGAUUGACCCUUCUUCUUCUUCCAAAACUUCCUUUUCUCACCACUCCUCUUGGUCGGUUCAGUAGUAGUGGUUGCUUCCUCGUGAUCAUCAUUGUGGUCAAUCAGAGUCUGGGCUAAGCUUUUGGCACUGUCAUAUGUAUCCAGCCUCGCAGAUAAAACAUUUCCUUUGGUUGGCUGGGUCAGUCCCCAGAUGAAUCUCUUUAUCUUCUUAUUCUCCGGAGUAACCAAUCCCGGACAGAGUAAUGCUAGAUCAUCGAAUCUAGAAGUGUAUGCAGCAAUAUCGGAACCCUUCAUCUUUAGGUUCUAGAGCACGUGCUCUAAUUUCUGUAUUUCACCCCGAGGGCAAUACUCAGCUAGAUGGAGUUCUUUCAUGGCUUCCCAGCCCAUGGCAUUGGCUACAGGUAGGGUUAGGGAUUUGACUCGGCCGUUCCACUAAGUCAGAGCUUUAUCAAUAAAGGUACAGGCUGCGAAUUUUACUUUAUCGGAUUCCGAACAGGCACAGAUUUCAAAGAUAGAUUCGAUUUUCUCGAACCGUCUAGAAAGGGAAAUGACACCUCCAAUGCCAUCAAAGGACAUGGGUUUCGCGUUCAUGAAAUCUUUAUAGGAACCCUCUUUUCGGUGUCCCUGGCUACCUUCUUGGUUUUGAGGCUGAGGACCACCUCCUGAACCACCAGGGUUCAUUUGAGACAUAGCAGCUGCCACCGCGGCAGUAACAGCUGCCUGGAACAUCACAGGUCAAAUUGAGGAGGAGGCGGUGGUGGCGGAGGAGGAUUGUUGUUCUUUGAGCUGGGUCUCUUUCUUGGAGGCAUCUUGAUCUAUAAAGAUCAGGAAUGAGAGGAUGGUAAGUCCUCUGAAUUGAAUCAAGAGAUAUGACAGAUAUUGAAUUCUAUUAAAUGAUAAAGCAGGAAUGAAUUUUCAAGGCAGAUAAAUUAUCGCUAAGAGAAUGAUCGAGGAGCAACGUUGGAAUGAGGGUUUCUACAACGAAGCUGGCAAUAGAAAUACUCACAUAGUAUUUCGUGAUUCACUGCGACGACGGCUCAUUGUUUGGGUAUUGGGUAAGUUUUAGGCAUGCUGAACGCUACAGUCACUCCCAAGCUCAUGUUGGCCGUGUCUCGAAUGAAUAUAGUUGGCCAGGCUAUAUUGAUCCUAGACACGACUACAUAACUGCUCAGGUUUAACCACAUCGUACAACACCCAUUUACUUAGGUUUUGUUCUACUUGUAGUUACGAAUUUCGACGGUUGGGUAUACUUAUAUACUUUUUGAAAAUACUUAUAUUUAGAGUAUACUUUUAGUUCAGAGCACUUAGGCCCCUUAGUGUUUAUAGUCUUAUACCAUGUAAGGUUUGGUAUACUUAGUUCACUAUAAACAUGGGCUCUGAUACCAAUCUGUCAAACCCCGAAACCCAAGGCGGAAACGUUUCCGGGGCGGACUCCACGUUAAGUAUCAAAUCCAAUGUACAUAGUAAGCAAAGUAAACAACCAUUACAUUACAUAUAAAUAUUUUACAUUUGUUUUAAAGUAAAGAGUAUUACAAGUGUGAUACAUAUGUAUAUAUAUAGACAAAAGUAAGACAUGUCUUCUACGCAAUCCAUCUUCGCCAAAAGGAAUCAUCGGGUACCUGUCUAAUGUGGACCUGAGAAUACAAGCAGUUUGAAAAUCAGCAUAAAGUUGGUGAGUUCAUAAGCGGUUUUGUUUUCUGAAAAUGUACGAGUUCCUUUCUGUUUACUGAAUAAGUUACGCACCAAGAAAAUCCCAUAUUUUCUUAAAAGUUGGUUACCCAUUCAAAAUGUAAUAUAAAAGAUGUAUACUGGUUACCAAACCGAAAUGUAAUGUAAAAGAUGAAUACUGGUUACCAAACCAAAAUGUAAUGUAAAAGAUGUAUACUGAAAAUCUGGUUAUGUACUAAUGUUACCCUAGGAAAAUCCCAUAUUUUCCUAAAAGAUGGUUACCGAUCUGAAAUGUAAUGUAAAAGAUGUAUACUGAAAACCUGUUUAUCCUUGCGAAAUCUAUUAGUUUUAACAUGCACAUAAAACUAAUAAGUAUGAAGUAAACAAAUUACUAACGCAUUAUUACUAACAAGUAAACCUCUGUUAUCCAAAUUGCGAUUUUCAUAACCAUACUAUAGACUAAAUAUGGCAAUAAGUAGUCCACAUCACCUUAUGACUUUCGUCACCCUUGAACCUUUCGGUUCGGCUGUAGCUAGCAGCCAGGUAUGGGGUAGUAAGCCCCGUAUAGAUCUAUAAACUCAAGUCACGCUACAUAUCUAAGAGAUUCUAGUUACGGAUGCGGUCCUCCACUCGCGUAUCUUUGUGGUGUGUUCACCGAGGAUGUGUCUCCAAUUUAUAGGAAUAACAAAUUUACUAGUAAUAAUACAAUAAUCCUCCACUCGCGUAUCUCUGUGGAGUGUUACCGAGGACAAAACAGUAUACUAAGUUUCAUGUUCAAAGAUCAAAUGUUAUGCUUUUAACUGAUAAAAUGUGGAAAACCAUUUGUGAAAAUAUAAAAUACAACAUUUUAAAACAUUUUUCACAAAUACUACGAUAAUGUGUUCUGCAAGUUCAAACUGUUAUCAGAUAUGAUUAUCAGUGUUAAAAGCAUAUGUAAUAUGAAACACAACACAUGCAAAACAAGUUUUUGAGUACAAGUAUUCCUUGUACUUUGCUUGUAUUCCCCCCUGAAAACAGUGAAAAACAUUGAAAAAGGGUAGGGGUAUGAACUCACCAGGCGAGAAAACAUGACGAUUUGGAUGCUAAGUGUCGGUUCAAGGCUUGAUAACGCGCGAGGUUCCUAUGUAAUAUGAAAUGGUAUACAAAUGUAUCUAAUUAGACUUUAAAUCACUAAUUAGAUAUGAUUAUUCACUCCAAGACGCGAAAACACUUCAAAUCAAGUGUCUGGAGUGACCCGGGUGACAUCUACGGACGUAUAGGACUUUGGAUAACAUGUUUACUCUUUGAGAGUAAACUCCUCAUGGAGUUUUCGGCCCUAUGACCAACUCCACAUGAGUUCACGGCUGUGAACUCAUGAAUGAGGGGUUUAUGGUGCUAAAUGGCUUUAAAACACUAGAGAGUUAAUUCUAGGUUUGAUUUUAAGGCAUGGGGAAGUGAUUUGAGGAAUUUAAGGACCAUUUGAGGAGUUUACGGCAGUAAACUAUGAGUUUACGGCCAUAAAAUCUCAUGUACUCAAUCUCAUUGUGUUUUGGUGGUCCUAAUUCAAUCACAUAUGAUUCAAACAAAUUAUACAAGCCUUAGAAUGGAUUUAGGGCAUCAUUUGACUAGUGUUUGUGAGUUUAUGGCCCAAGAACCCAUUCUUGGGGGUUUAUAGCCGUGAACUCUCAAAGGGAUGGUUUUCAUCAUGUUUAAGGCCCCUAAAUCGAUUGUGGUUGGUUCUAGAAUUUAAUCCAAAACUAUUGGUGUGUUUAAGUGGCAUUUAAACACUCAAAUUUGAGUUUACUCCCCAUGAAGAUAAGUUUACGGCCAAAGCAUGUUCUUGGGCAUUAAACUCAUGUUUACUCCUCAAAAAUGAUGUUCAAGGUGUUCUAAGUCCGAUUUGAUAAGCCAUUAAGUCAUAUCUAAGCCCCAAAGGUGGAUUGGAAGGGUUUUAAGGCUCAAAAACCCUCUUUAUGUGUCUUUAAGGCCCAAGCAUGUUCCAGGGCCGCAAACUCAUGAAUAUGGUCCUAAAUCAUAGUUUGAACUCGGAUUUGGAAGCUGAAAAGGUUGAACAACAAGUUAGGGUGAUUACCUUGAUGUUUUGGAGCUUGAAACUGGAUGAUUUUAGACCUUAAGUUGGAUUGAGGAGAGAGGUUAGAGAGAGAGUAGUGAGAGAGAGAAAAAGCUUCAAAUGGAAGCUUAAUUCACUUUAAAUAUGUUCCAAGUUCGGGACACGGUGGAAUUCUACCCGAUACCGACGUUAGAUGUGGCUUUUGGUCGCACCCGACUAAGUUUCCGUAACCUGAUAUGGUAGAUUCUAAAAAUAUUCGGAUUACUAGAAUGGGGUGUUAAUAUGAGCUCUAAAUGCGUUUGGACACCCAUUAAGUCAUAAUAGCAAUCUCAAAUUAAUGACUUAAUUUAAUAGCGUAAACGGAAACGAAAUUGAAAACGACGAAUGGAUUAACGAAAAGGGGUUACAAAUGAUGGAAACGAACUUCGGGUUGUCACAGUAUGACUCUAAGACUUGUAUUGGAACGAAGUAUGACUCAUCUUAUUGAUUUAACCAUUUCAACAAUUCAAGAUUCCUCUUCUUAGUCAUAAGAAUGCACUAAGAUUUCCUUAGAGAACUAAUUGUGCUAUGGUUUCUUAAUCAUUAAGAUGAUCACAAAAACUGAUACUAAAGUACUCUCCCAUCUUUUCAGAUUUGAGAAACUUUUAUCCUUCUGCCUAAGUUGAUUCUUCUUAUUCGCUCUGUCAUACAUUGGAACCUUUUUCCAAUGUCUCAGAAUUACACUUAAGCUUGUAAGUAUAACCAUAUUUACUGAGCUUUAGUAAAUUAUGACGAAUAAUCUUAUCGAUCUUUUGUGGUGGACUUGACCAGUGCACAAGAAUGUGUACUCGAUCCCUUAGUCCUUUACUUGACUCACACAUCCAUGUGAACAA
rnacentral:lncRNA from 1 species